ACGCUCGACACCUACGGGAGGGAGCAGUGGGGAAUAUUGCACAAUGGGGGAAACCCUGAUGCAGCGACGCCGCGUGAGCGAAGAAGUAUUUCGGUAUGUAAAGCUCUAUCAGCAGGGAAGAAACUGACGGUACCUGACUAAGAAGCACCGGCUAAAUACGUGCCAGCAGCCGCGGUAAUCUGAGCGGGCUGGCAAGGC
rnacentral:rRNA from 1 species